UCAGUGACGCUUCAGCUGUGUCCUGAAGGAUGAGUAACAAGUCAAGGGGAUGAGAAGGGCGUACCAGGCAAAGGUAGCAGCGUGUGCAAAGGCACGGACGUGUGAGAGAACGUGGCACGUUCUGGUCCAACCUUCUUUGUUAUGGAUGAGGAACCCGAACUUCAGAAAAGUAAGACUCCUGAACGUAUACAGAAACAGAGACAUGGAAAUAAAUUCUGCUCUUGGAGGCCACGUGACUGGUACUCAGCGACUCAGCACCCCAGCCGGAAGGGACAGAAUCAUGCUGCUGACUUCCAGUGCAAACACAUUGUUGUAUGGCCAGCACUGGAGGAUGCUGGGAGAAGAAACAUUCUUACAGGAACAGUUGCUUUCCUGGAAAGGUUAGCUCGCCUGGCUGGGGUUGAGCCAGAAAAGCUGACUCUCACCCUAGCAAGUUCUCUAUCACUCCAAGGCCCUGGAUACUCCAAGAAGACCACCCAACACCAGGCAGCCUCCUUCUGUACCAGCCUCUGGCUUCUUGCCAGUUUGGAGGCUCAUAAUCCAACCAGUUGGUAUGCACCGCUUUCCACCACCUGUCGGUUCUCAGAGAUCUGUAAGUUUUUUAGAAUUCCAGCACCCAGGGAUUAUUGCUGUGCGUUCAGGGAAGACCCUAGGCCUGGGUUCCUCCAGCUUCCCACCUGCACUGGGUCCCAGCACCAUCAAGUCAUUAGGUUGCCCCUGCUGCCUGAUUUCUUUCCCCUUGGCCUUUCCAUUUCUCUCUCCUGCUCCAAGGACCUGAGAUGA
rnacentral:lncRNA from 1 species